GAUGAACGCUAGCUACAGGCUUAACACAUGCAAGUCGAGGGGCAGCAUGAACUUAGCUUGCUAAGUUUGAUGGCGACCGGUGCACGGGUGAGUAACACGUAUCUAACCUGCGGAUGACUCGGGGAUGGCCUUUCGAAAGAAAGAUUAAUACCCGAUGGCAUAGUUCUUUCGCAUGGUGGAACUAUUAAAGAAUUUCGGUCAUCGAUGGGGAUGCGUUCCAUUAGGUUGUUGGCGGGGUAACGGCCCACCAAGCCUUCGAUGGGUAGGGGUUCUGAGAAGAAGGUCCGCCACAGUGGAACUGCAACACGGUCCAAACUCCUGCGGUAGGCAGCAGAGAGGAAUAUUAGUCAAUGGACGAGAAUCUGAACCAGCCAAGUAGCGUGAAGGAUGACUGCCCUAUGGGUUGUAAACUUCAUUUAUACGGGAAUAAAGUGAGGCACGUGUGCCUCUUUGUAUGUACCGUAUGAAUAAGGAGCGGCUAACUCCGUGCCAGCAGCCGCAGUAACAC
rnacentral:rRNA from 1 species